rnacentral:rRNA from 1 species
GAUGAACGCUGGCGGCGUGCCUAAUACAUGCAAGUCGAGCGAACGGACGAGAAGCUUGCUUCUCUGAUGUUAGCGGUGGACGGGUGAGUAACACGUGGAUAACCUACCUAUAAGACUGGGAUAACUUCGGGAAACCGUAGCUAAUACCGGAUAAUAUUUUGAACCGCAUGGUUCAAAAGUGAAAGACGGUCUUGCUGUCACUUAUAGAUGGAUCCGCGCUGCAUUAGCUAGUUGGUAAGGUAACGGCUUACCAAGGCAACGAUGCAUAGCCGACCUGAGAGGGUAAUCGGCCACACUGGAACUGAGACACGGUCCAGACUCCUACGGGAGGCAGCAGUAGGGAAUCUUCCGCAAUGGGCGAAAGCCUGACGGAGCAACGCCGCGUGAGUGAUGAAGGUCUUCGGAUCGUAAAACUCUGUUAUUAGGGAAGAACAUAUGUGUAAGUAACUGUGCACAUCUUGACGGUACCUAAUCAGAAAGCCACGGCUAACUACGUG